rnacentral:rRNA from 1 species
UAUGUGAUCGUCUCUCGCAUAUCAAUAAGCGGAGGAAAAGAAACUAACAAGGAUUCCCCUAGUAACGGCGAGUGAAGCGGGAAGAGCUCAAAUUUGAAAUCUUAAAGGGUUUCCCUUUACGAAUUGUAGUUUAAAGAAGUGUUUUCUGUUGAGGUUUUGGUAAAAGUUCUUUGGAAUAGGACAUCAUAGAGGGUGAGAAUCCCGUAUUUGACCUUUACUUUCAACUUUGUGAUACACUUUCAAAGAGUCGGAUUGUUUGGGAAUGCAGUCCAAAAUGGGUGGUAAAUUUCAUCUAAAGCUAAAUAUUGGCGAGAGACCGAUAGCGAACAAGUACCGUGAGGGAAAGAUGAAAAGAACUUUGAAAAGAGAGUUAAACAGUACGUGAAAUUGUCAAAAGGGAAGCGUUUGACACCAGUGUUGUCUUUCUGAAAAUCAAUUAAAGAACUGUUUAUGCUAAGCUGUUUAGACUUUAUCAGCUAUCUGUUUAGUUUUGAGCUUUUCUUUAAUGCACUUUUCAGUUAACAAGUCAACAUCAAUUUCUUUUGCUGUAAAAAAGCUUGAGGAAGGUGGCUUGAGAUUCGUCUUAAGUGUUUAUAGCCUCUUGCCUAUGCAGUCGGAGAGAUUGAGGUCUGCAGCGUAGAUCCUUCGGGGCUAAAUGCAUUUGUGCUAAGUUAUAGCAUUUUAUAGACAACUUGUUGACUAUGAUUUGUCUUGUAGCUUACUCGCUUAUGUUAUUUUACCUACGCUUAGGAUGUUGAGCGCAUGUCUCUCUCU